rnacentral:rRNA from 1 species
GUCGAACGGUAGCACAGAGGAGCUUGCUCCUUGGGUGACGAGUGGCGGACGGGUGAGUAAUGUCUGGGAAACUGCCCGAUGGAGGGGGAUAACUACUGGAAACGGUAGCUAAUACCGCAUAACGUCGCAAGACCAAAGAGGGGGACCUUCGGGCCUCUUGCCAUCGGAUGUGCCCAGAUGGGAUUAGCUAGUAGGUGGGGUAACGGCUCACCUAGGCGACGAUCCCUAGCUGGUCUGAGAGGAUGACCAGCCACACUGGAACUGAGACACGGUCCAGACUCCUACGGGAGGCAGCAGUGGGGAAUAUUGCACAAUGGGCGCAAGCCUGAUGCAGCCAUGCCGCGUGUAUGAAGAAGGCCUUCGGGUUGUAAAGUACUUUCAGCGAGGAGGAAGGCAUUAAGGUUAAUAACCUUGGUGAUUGACGUUACUCGCAGAAGAAGCACCGGCUAACUCCGUGCCAGCAGCCGCGGUAAUACGGAGGGUGCAAGCGUUAAUCGGAAUUACUGGGCGUAAAGCGCACGCAGGCGGUCUGUCAAGUCGGAUGUGAAAUCCCCGGGCUCAACCUGGGAACUGCAUCCGAAACUGGCAGGCUAGAGUCUUGUAGAGGGGGGUAGAAUUCCAGGUGUAGCGGUGAAAUGCGUAGAGAUCUGG